rnacentral:rRNA from 1 species
UACGUAGGGGGCAAGCGUUGUCCGGAUUUAUUGGGCGUAAAGAGCGUGUAGGCGGCCAGACAGGUCCGUUGUGAAAACUCGAGGCUCAACCUCGAGACGCCGAUGGAAACCGUCUGGCUAGAGUCCGGAAGAGGAGAGUGGAAUUCCUGGUGUAGCGGUGAAAUGCGCAGAUAUCAGGAAGAACACCCGUGGCUAAGGCGGCUCCCUAGUACGGUACUGACGCUGAGACGCGAAAGCGUGGGGAGCGAACAGG